AGCAGUCGCCGCGGUAAAACGUAGGGUGCAAGCGUUAAUCGGAAUUACUGGGCGUAAAGCGUGCGCAGGCGGUUUGUUAAGACAGAUGUGAAAUCCCCGGGCUCAACCUGGGAACUGCAUUUGUGACUGGCAAGCUAGAGUCUGGCAGAGGGGGGUGGAAUUCCGCGUGUAGCAGUGAAAUGCGUAGAUAUGCGGAGGAACACCGAUGGCGAAGGCAGCCCCCUGGGCCAACACUGACGCUCAUGCACGAAAGCGUGGGGAGCAAACAGGAUUAGAUACCCCAGUAGUCCCUGUCUCUUAUAC
rnacentral:rRNA from 1 species